UACAGAGGCCACCGGAGACCACGAGUGACCACGACCCCUACGAUUACAACCAUUAAAACAAACUCUUGCGACGUCGGUACUGGGCGGUUCUGGGUAUAUGGAUAUUACACCUUAGCUGAAAGUGUCAGGAAUGUCGAGAAUUCUGCUACAAAGAGCUGAAGAAACAUUUCCUGCUGAGACAGAAAGGAUGAACUGUACAAAUUCAGAGAAGGUUCUAGUGGGUCCAUAUG